rnacentral:tRNA from 1 species
GGACGAUUAGCUCAGUUGGUAGAGCAUCCGCUUGACGUGCGGAGGGUCAGGGAUUCGAGUUCCUUAUCGUCCACCA